rnacentral:rRNA from 1 species
GUUAGCCGGGCCUUCCUCUGAGGGUACCGUCAAUAUCUUCCCCUCUGACAGUGGUUUAAAUCCCGAAGGAUGUCAUCCCACACGCGGCGUCGCUCCGUCAGGCUUGCGCCCAUUGCGGAAAAUUCCU